rnacentral:rRNA from 1 species
CGGGACGGGUGAGUAAUGUCUGGGAAACUGCCUGAUGGAGGGGGAUAACUACUGGAAACGGUAGCCAAUACCGCAUAACGUCGCAAGACCAAAGAGGGGGACCUUCGGGCCUCUUGCCAUCGGAUGUGCCCAGAUGGGAUUAGCUAGUAGGUGGGGUAACGGCUCACCUAGGCGACGAUCCCUAGCUGGUCUGAGAGGAUGGCCAGCCACACUGGAACUGAGACACGGUCCAG